rnacentral:pre_miRNA from 1 species
AAAAGUGCUGUUUGUGCAGGUAGUGUGUUUCCUCUACUGUAGGAGCAGCACUUCACAA